AAAGUAUGUCGCCGUAGAGCUGGGGUUUCAAAGCGGCAUGUGCCUCCAGUCAUGCAAUGCCCUUGGAAAUCCCAAACGUGCUGGCGACCGCU
rnacentral:pre_miRNA from 1 species